GACGAACGCUGGCGGCGUGCUUAACACAUGCAAGUCGAACGGUGAAGGGACCAGCUUGCUGGUUCUGGAUGAGUGGCGAACGGGUGAGUAACACGUGAGUAACCUGCCCCCUUCUUCUGGAUAACCGCAUGAAAGUGUGGCUAAUACGGGAUAUUCUGGGUCUGUCGCAUGGCGGGCCCGGGAAAGAUAUUGCUUCGGUGGGGGAUGGGGUCGCGGCCUAUCAGCUUGUUGGUGGGGUGAUGGCCUACCAAGGCGGUGACGGGGAGCCGGCCUGAGGGGGGGGAAGGCCACACGGGAACUACGGCACGGCCCAGACUGCUACGGGAGGGAGCAGUGGGGAAUAUUGAACAAUGGGCGCAAGCCUGAUGCAGCGACGCCGCGUGAGAGAUGGAGGCCUUCGGGUUGUAAACCUCUUUCGACAGUGAAGCAGGCCUGCUCCUUGUGGGUGGGUUGACGGUAGCUGGAUAAGAAGCGCCGGCUAACUACGUG
rnacentral:rRNA from 1 species